UGAUGAUAGCGAGGGAAAUUUUUAAGCAUACCCUUAAAUAUCUUCCAAGCUUGGUAAAGAUUCUCUCAUUCAUUCUGUCUGAAACUCAUAAUCUCACUUAUAAAUCG